AAUGAACGCUGGCGGCAUGCCUAACACAUGCAAGUCGAACGAAGCCUUCGGGUUUAGUGGCGCACGGGUGCGUAACGCGUGGGAAUCUGCCCCUUGGUUCGGAAUAACAGUUGGAAACGACUGCUAAUACCGGAUGAUGACGUAAGUCCAAAGAUUUAUCGCCGAGGGAUGACCCCGCGUAGGAUUAGGUAGUUGGUGUGGUAAAGGCGCACCAAGCCGACGAUCCUUAGCUGGUCUGAGAGGAUGAUCAGCCACACUGGGACUGAGACACGGCCCACACUCCUACGGGAGGCAGCAGUGGGGAAUACUGGACAAUGGGCGAAAGCCUGAUCCAGCAAUGCCGCGUGAGUGAUGAAGGCCUUAGGGUUGUAAAGCUCUUUUACCCGGGAUGAUAAUGACAGUACCGGGAGAAUAAGCUCCGGCUAACUCCGUGCCAGCAGCCGCGGUAAUACGGAGGGAGCUAGCGUUAUUCGGAAUUACUGGGCGUAAAGCGCACGUAGGCGGCUUUGUAAGUAAGAGGUGAACGCCCAGCGCUCAACUCUGGAAUUGCCUUUUAGACUGCAUCGCUUGAAUCAUGGAGAGGUCAGUGGAAUUCCGAG
rnacentral:rRNA from 1 species